CCUAGAGUUGUAGGCUUUGCCUGCUAUCUCUUACCCAUGUCUUUUGAGUACCUUCGUUUCCCUCGGCGGGUCCGCCCGCCGAUUGGACAAUUUAAACCAUUUGCAGUUGCGAUCAGCGUCUGAAAAAACUUAAUAGUUA
rnacentral:misc_RNA from 1 species